rnacentral:rRNA from 1 species
GAUGAACGCUGGCGGCGUGCCUAAUACAUGCAAGUCGAGCGAACAGACGAGGAGCCUGCUCCUCUGACGUUAGCGGCGGACGGGUGAGUAACACGUGGAUAACCUACCUAUAAGACUGGGAUAACUUCGGGAAACCGGAGCUAAUACCGGAUAAUAUAUUGAACCGCAUGGUUCAAUAGUGAAAGACGGUUUUGCUGUCACUUAUAGAUGGAUCCGCGCCGCAUUAGCUAGUUGGUAAGGUAACGGCUUACCAAGGCAACGAUGCGUAGCCGACCUGAGAGGGUGAUCGGACACACUGGAACUGAGACACGGUCCAGACUCCUACGGGAGGCAGCAGUAGGGAAUCUUCCGCAAUGGGCGAAAGCUUGACGGAGCAACGCCGCGUGAGUGAUGAAGGUCUUCGGAUCGUAAAACUCUGUUAUUAGGGAAGAACAAAUGUGUAAGUAACUAUGCACGUCUUGACGGUACCUAAUCAGAAAGCCACGGCUAACUACGUG